GACGAACGCUGGCGGCGUGCUUAACACAUGCAAGUCGAACGGUGAAGCGAGUGCUUGCACUCGUGGAUCAGUGGCGAACGGGUGAGUAACACGUGAGUAACCUGCCCAUCACUCUGGGAUAAGCACUGGAAACGGUGUCUAAUACUGGAUACGACCAACCCUUGCAUGGGGUGUUGGUGGAAAGAUUUGUCGGUGGUGGAUGGACUCGCGGCCUAUCAGCUUGUUGGCGGGGUAAUGGCCCACCAAGGCGACGACGGGUAGCCGGCCUGAGAGGGUGACCGGCCACACUGGGACUGAGACACGGCCCAGACUCCUACGGGAGGCAGCAGUGGGGAAUAUUGCACAAUGGGCGGAAGCCUGAUGCAGCGACGCCGCGUGAGGGAUGACGGCCUUCGGGUUGUAAACCGCUUUCAGCAGUGAAGAAGCGAAAGUGACGGUACCUGCAGAAGAAGCACCGGCUAACUACGUG
rnacentral:rRNA from 1 species